GGGAUUGCCCCAGUAACGGCGAGUGAAGCGGCAAAAGCUCAAAUUUGAAAUCUGGAGCCCAUUCGGCUCCCGAGUUGUAAUUUGUAGAGGAAGCCUCGGAGGGCGCGCCGGUCCAAGUGCCUUGGAACAGGAUACCGCAGAGGGUGAGAGUCCCGUAUCCGGCCGGUCGUGCGCUCCGUGUGAGGCUCCUUCGACGAGUCGAGUUGUUUGGGAAUGCAGCUCCAAGCGGGUGGUAAAUUCCAUCUAAAGCUAAAUACUGGCCAGAGACCGAUAGCGAACAAGUAGAGUGAUCGAAAGAUGAAAAGCACUUUGAAAAGAGAGUCAAACAGUACGUGAAAUUGUUGAAAGGGAAGCGCAUGGGGGCAGACUUGGACGCGGGGUUCAGGUCGUCACUUGUGGCGGCUGUACUUCCCCGCGGACAGGCCAGCAUCGGUUCUGGGGGCCGGACAAAGGCGUCGGGAACGUGGCUCCCUUCGGGGCGUGUUAUAGCCCGACGUGCAAUGCGGCCACCCGGGACCGAGGACCGCGCUUCGGCAAGGAUGCUGGCGUAAUGGCCUCAUGCGGCCCGUCUUGAAACACGGACCAAGGAGUCUAACAUCUAUGCGAGUGUUUGGGUGUCAAGCCCGGACGCGCAAUGAAAGUGAACGGAGGUGGGAGCCUGUUACAGGGCGCACCAUCGACCGAUCCGGACGUCUUCUGAAGGAUUUGAGUAAGAGCAUAGCUGUUGGGACCCGAAAGAUGGUGAACUAUGCGUGAAUAGGGUGAAGCCAGAGGAAACUCUGGUGGAGGCUCGCAGCGG
rnacentral:rRNA from 2 species